CCUACGGGUGGCUGCAGUGGGGAAUCUUCCACAAUGGGCGAAAGCCUGAUGCAGCGACGCCGCGUGGGUGAAGAAGGUCUUCGGAUCGUAAAACUCUGUUUUUAGAGAAGAAAGUGCGAGAGUGUAGACUGCAGCGGAUCGACGGUAUCUAAGCAGAUAGUCUCUGCUAACUACGUGCCAGCAGCCGCGGUAAUGCGUAGGUGGCAAGCGUUAUCCGGAUUUAUUGGGUGUAAAUGGACGGUAGGCGGUGUGUUAAGUCUGAUGUGAAAGUUUUCGGCUUAACCGGAGAAGUGCAUUGGAUACUGGCAGACUUGAGUGCAGGAGAGGUGAGCGGAACUCCUGGUGUAGCGGUGAAAUGCGUAGAUAUAUGGAAGAACACCGGUGGCGAAAGCGGCUCUCUGGACUGUAACUGACGCUGAGGUUCGAAAGCGUGGGUAGCAAACAGGAUUAGAUACCCUUGUAGUC
rnacentral:rRNA from 1 species